rnacentral:rRNA from 1 species
UCGACCGACUGUAUAGCAAAUACACAGGUUUUAGUUAAAGAUGUUUAGAUUUUAGAGCUGAUAUGUGACCAGUGCAUCUUCACAUAAGGACCAAUCCGAAACGUUGGCCGUAACAAUAACGGUCCUAAGGUAGCAAAUUUCCUUGUCGUUAGUAACGACCUGCAUGAAACAUGGAACGAUUCGAUAGCUGUCUUGCGCACACGUCAUGGUGAAAUAUUCAUCAGUACGAAUGAUAUGCUGCCGAAGUCGAGUGACGCUAAAGGACAAAAAGACCCUUUGAAGCUUUAUAGGGAUAGAACUUGGGUAACAUCGCGAUCUAAAUUAUCUUAUAAAUGCUACCUUACAUAGAAUCGGGAGUACGGCAGACGUUAUUCUCCCAGCUAAAGUGGUGGAGAUCGCAGGCAAGCUGCUCAGACUUAGACCUCACUCCGUUUGAAACGAUAUAAAUGGUAGACGUUAUUCUAUAGACCACUGUUUAAUUGGGGCGAUGACCUUAUCCACAGCCACCUAAGGUGAACAAAGCGAUACAAGGAUCCUAAAUACUAAUUUGACCAACUAAUAAGUGCAAAGAUACAUGUUUUGCUUAAUGGCCCGGUGAGUCCUUCCCAGUACUUAAAUGCUGUCUUAGUGAGCUUUAAAUUAAUGUACCCGAGUGAAGCUACUCUACGGAUAACAGGCUUAAUUUCCGCAAUAUUUAAGGUCACAUUAUCAAGAAAAAUGCACAUCGAUGUCGGCUUAUCAUCCCAAAAUAGGUAGCUGGAUAAUUGGUGGGAGUGCUCAUCCCGUAAAUCGGUACGUGAGCUGGGUUCAGAACGAUGUAAAUCAGUUUGGUCUAUAUCUUUAAUCAUACACCACAAAUCAUGGCAUUAUUUUCUCAGUACGCAAGGACCAGAAAGAUUAAGC